AUUGAACGCUAGCGGGAUGCUUUACACAUGCAAGUCGAACGGAGUGGCGGACGGGUGAGUAAUAUAUCGGAACGUGCCCAGUAGCGGGGGAUAACUACUCGAAAGAUUGGCUAAUACCGCAUACUAUUUGAGCGGCCGAUAUCGGAUUAGCUAGUUGGUGUGGUAAAGGCUCACCAAGGCAACGAUCCGUAGCUGGUUUGAGAGGACGACCAGCCACACUGGGACUGAGACACGGCCCAGACUCCUACGGGAGGCAGCAGUGGGGAAUUUUGGACAAGGGGCGAAACUCUGAUCCAGCAAUCCCGCGUGUAUGAAGAAGGUCUUCGGGUUGUAAAGUACUUUUGGCAGAGAAGCGGUAUCUGCAGAAUAAGCACCGGCUAACUACGUGCCAGCAGCCGCGGUAAUAC
rnacentral:rRNA from 1 species